ACUGCUGGUGAGGUUCUUGUCCAGAGGAGGUUUGGACAUCCAGAAUUCCUUGGUGGCAUUUAUCCUUUACCCUGAGCUCUAAUUGAAGCGGGGAAGGCUCAGGCCAAGCUUGCUGUGCUGUUAUGGUUUUGAGAAAAUACUGAAACAUCCAGUUUUUGACAGCAUCUUGCCAGCUACUUGAAUUUGAAACAUGAGAAAAGUCUCUGGAGCGUACAGGAAGAGUGAUGAUAGUCAGAAGGAAAUGGAUUGUGUAUUGUUAAAAAACAAGACCUAUCCAAACAUGCAAGAGAAAUGGAAGGAUGACAUGGAUGAACAUUCCUGCCUGUGUUUCCUGCAGACCUUGCUCUCCCCUGCACCUUUGUGGCACAGACAAAUAUUCCAGUUCACAGAAUGGGGACAAUUAGAAUGGAAGAAGUUUUUAUGGUUUGACUUGGAGACUCUCAUUGUGGUUUAUUGGAUAGUUAGAAGCAUCAGCAUCUCAGAAGUUAAUGACCUGCCUGAAAUAAUGGGGAUUUUAGAAGAUGGAAUGUUACUAAAUUAAUAAAUAUAAUAAAUAUUAACUAUUUCACUGCAAGUAUAUGGUCUAUCUGAAAAUAAAGCUGAGAACAAUGCUGGGUUUUCACUUCAGAAGUGAUGGUUUCAUAUACAACUACAACAUUUUUUAUUUAUGAUGUUGAUAUUCAGAACAGAGCUGUGGAUUAUAUUCAUCAUGCCCAUCUGGGCUGUGCUUGCAUGUUAAUUAAAACACAAUUCCCCUUAAUGUGGAGAUGCUCUCUGUCUUCAGGCUUGGGCUCCUUCAGCAGGUUCAGGACAGCCUGGUAAGUGUGGGGAAAUGUUUCAAUGUUUGCUCUUAUGUUUAUGGUGAAGCAGGGAAAGUUUUCCAGCUCCCCAGGUAAUGAGCUUCCAAUACAGGAAAUAUUUAGGGAUGAUAUAGGAUCUACUGAGCAAAAUGGAAAGUAUGAUGAGAGAUGGAAUGAAUUAUAGACAAGUGAAGGAAAUGGGGAAAGUUUUAGGAGAAAUUGUUUUAUAUAGAAUAGUUAUUAUAACACUUAGUCAU